ACUCAAAUGAAUAGACGGGGAGGCGCACAAGCAGUGGAGCAUGUGGUUUAAUUUGAUACAAAGCAAAAAACCUCACCAGGACUUGACAUGUAGCUGCAAGCGCACGGAAACGUGUGACCUUCGAGGGUGCUACACAGAUGCUGCAUGGCUGUCGUCAGCUCGUGGCGUGAGCUGUACCGUUAAGUCGGGUAACGAGCGCAACCCACACCGUAUGUUAAAUAUUCAUGCGGAACUGCCCCAUUUUUUGGGGAGGAAGGCGUGGAUGAUGUCAAGUCAGCACGGCUCUUACGUCCUGGGCUACACACAUCCUACAAUGGCGAACAACAACGAGCUGCAAACCGGUAACGGCAAGCUAAUCUCUAAAAUUUCGCCUCAGUUCAGAUCGAGGGCUGCAAUUCGCCCUCGUGAAGUCGGAAUUGCUAGUAAUCGCGAAUCAGCAGGUCGCGGUGAAUACGUUCUCGCCUCUUGUACACACCGCCCGU
rnacentral:rRNA from 1 species